rnacentral:rRNA from 1 species
GGGGAAUAUUGCACAAUGGGCGAAAGCCUGAUGCAGCAACGCCGCGUGAGUGAUGAAGGUCUUCGGAUUGUAAAGCUCUGUCUUUUGGGACGAUAAUGACGGUACCAAAGGAGGAAGCCACGGCUAACUACGUGCCAGCAGCCGCGGUAAUACGUAGGUGGCGAGCGUUGUCCGGAUUUACUGGGCGUAAAGGGCGCGUAGGCGGAUGUUUAAGUGAGAUGUGAAAUACCCGGGCUUAACUUGGGUGCUGCAUUUCAAACUGGAUAUCUAGAGUGCAGGAGAGGAGAAUGGAAUUCCUAGUGUAGCGGUGAAAUGCGUAGAGAUUAGGAAGAACACCAGUGGCGAAGGCGAUUCUCUGGACUGUAACUGACGCUGAGGCACGAAAGCGUGGGUAGCAAACAGGAUUAGAUACCCUGGUAGUCCACGCCGUAAACGAUGAGUACUAGGUGUAGGAGGUAUCGACCCCUUCUGUGCCGCAGUAAACA